CGAAAGCUCCGUCUUCUUCAAGCAGGCCCAGGUCGGCUUUCCCCUAAUCUCGCCGACGACGAAUCCCCAAAUCCACACCGACGACGAAGCCCUAAUCACCCGACGACGAAGCUCGCAUCUCGCCCGACGACGAAGCCCUAUUCUCGCCCGACGACGAAGUCUGAGCUCGAUCUUAAAUCUCCCAACUCAGAUUGAAAUGGCUUCAUCAUCAACUGUGGAAGGCAACUCCUGUGUUGAAGUUGAUAUUAGAUUCAUAUUGAAACAAUGCGAGUGUGGUGAAUUAGCGGAUGUGAAGAUAACGAAGUCGAACAAGAACAAUAAUCGUGGUAGAAUUUACUACUCGUGUAAAAGGCAAAAGUGCGGUUCGUUUUUGGGCUGGUGCAAGAUUUCAUCAGUUGAACAAAUACCACUCGUCAUUGCCCCACCAGAGGCGCGUGACGUGGUUGUUGUACGUGAAAAAGUGUUGUGGAAAUGGUUAACUGUUAUAGCUUUUUUGUUGUCUCUUUUUUUGGCCAUGAAAGAAAUUAUGUGAUGUGUUGGAAUGAAACAAGACUUUGUAAGCGAGGAAAUUAUGUGUUGUGGAAUCGGUAUUUUGUAAUGCUUCACGCUUUGAUGUGUUGGAAUGAAACAAGUUUGUUAAUUUU